rnacentral:rRNA from 1 species
GGGACGAGUAACGCGUGAGUAACCUGCCUUACACAAGGGGAUAGCCUUUGGAAACGAAGAAUAAUACCCUAUAAAACCAUAAAAGCACAUGCUAGAAUGGUCAAAGUGAUAGCGGUGUAAGAUGGACUUGCGUCUGAUUAGCUAGUUGGUGAGAUAAAAGCUCACCAAGGCAACGAUCAGUAGCCGGCUUGAGAGAGUGUACGGCCACAUUGGGACUGAGACACGGCCCAG